rnacentral:lncRNA from 1 species
GCGAACCACCAGUAUCUUGCUGUAACUUGUUGAAUCUCGUAGCUGUACGCAUUUCCAUUGUGACAAAGUGAAGAGGCUCCUUGGCCAAAGAGACCAGGGUGGACUUCAUUUAAAAGCCAAAAACAGAGAAACAAAUAUGUAAUCCAUUAGAGAGGCCUACUAUAGAGCACAAAUAUUGUCAAGCAAUGGGGAAGACCACAUUGAGAACCUUAAUUGUCUGUGUAUCCACAGUGUAUAGUGCUUUAGGUUGUGUAGUGACAGGCCCAGACCAGGAGGUUCCUGUGGGCUCUAAUGUCCGACUGCCCUGCAACCUCACUCAGUGUUUCAAAAGUCUGGGACAUCACAAAAUCAGUGUGGAGUGGGAGUUCACUGACAAGGGGUCAAUGGAUAACAGCCAGCACUAUCUCAUAUACCACUACCAUAACCAAACUGUCACCGUUGAUCCCAGAGUGUAUUUGGUUGGGACCAUCUCUGAAGGUGACUUCUCGCUCCUGCUGCUGUCAGUGACAGUCCAAUGUAGUGGCACCUACAUGUGUCGCCUGGGUCCUGCACCCGGCUAUCCAGACAUCCAUCAGAGUCACACACAGGUCACAGUGGUGGAAAGAUCAGGGCAGCACAGGAGUUUCCCAGGAGAUUUCCAUAAACCUGAUGUAACCCAUCCUGAUUGGCUGUUGCCUCUCUGCUGCGGGCUUUUUUCACUGUGCCUGGUGGGCGGAGUCACAGUGGGAAUAUGGGUGUGUCGGGAGGUCACCACGGCAACAAAAUGACCAGUGUCACAUCCAGGUGAACGUAAUACGUGGAGAAGACACACAGGAAGCCAAUGGAAACAAGGACACAAACUGCUAUGUCACGCUCCAGAGGUUCAGGGCCCCGCCUCCUCCCACACCCUCUAGAGGAGAGGGCAUCUACGUUACCAUGCACGGCACUCCCGCUGGGCCUUCAGGUGUCCAUUCCAAGCCUCAGACUCACCCCAGCAGAAAGACUCUCCCAGAGGAGUGGCUGCAGCAGGAAAUACCCACAAAGCCCCAACACUUCCCUUGAACACCUCCAACCAACCCUCCUCAAAAACUUAGACACAGGGAACUGCUGUGUUGAGACUAAUAGCUUGGCUAUUUCAAAUCCCCCCAUUGUUCCUUUGCGCCAUUGCCGAAGAGCCACUAUGUUUGAAUCAUUUCAAAAGGGGUGAAAAUCUAUUACUUUGGAAGAGAAUCCAGAACCACCCUUAUCCAAAUUCAUCUCUGACACUAUAAUCAGAGUGGUUAUUGAAGUUAGGAAGAAGAAGAUUCCUAUAAUUUAGCUAUAUAAAGAUGACGUAUUACGAUUACUUAGAAGAUCCUUCCUUCUUGCUAAUGGUCCCCUCUCAGCUCUUAAGUGUAACCCUAACAGAGAUGGAACAGUUAUUAUUGUUGACCGGUAGGGAUUUUAAAAACAGG